rnacentral:rRNA from 1 species
CCUACGGGUGGCAGCAGUGAGGAAUAUUGGUCAAUGUACGAGAGUCUGAACCAGCCAAGUAGUGUGAAGGAUGACUGCCCUAUGGGUUGUAAACUUCUUUUAUAUGGGAAUAAAAUGUUCCACGUGUGGGAUUUUGUAUGUACCAUAUGAAUAAGGAUCGGCUAACUCCGUGCCAGCAGCCGCGGUAAUACGGAGGAUCCGAGCGUUAUCCGGAUUUAUUGGGUUUAAAGGGAGCGUAGGUGGAUUGUUAAGUCAGUUGUGAAAGUUUGCGGCUCAACCGUAAAAUUGCAGUUGAAACUGGCAGUCUUGAGUACAGUAGAGGUGGGCGGAAUUCGUGGUGUAGCGGUGAAAUGCUUAGAUAUCACGAAGAACUCCGAUUGCGAAGGCAGUUCACUGGACUGCAACUGACACUGAGGCUCGAAAGUGUGGGUAUCAAACAGGAUUAGAUACCCCAGUAGUC